CCCUGCAAAAAUAGAAUAUUUGGUUUUGGUCCUUGGUAUUUUGUUUUAAUCCUUGUAAAAUCAUUUCUUAUUGAAAUUGGUCCCUAUAAUAUUCAUUUUAGUCCUCGUUUUGAGGGACUAAAAUCAAAUAUUCUACAUAUUACAAGGACCAAAUCCAAUAUGAAUCAAUUUUACAAGGAAUAAAACAAAAUACAAAGGUCCAAAACCCAAUUUUUUAUAUUUGCAGGGA
rfam:Medicago truncatula strain A17 chromosome 7, whole genome shotgun sequence.